GAUGAACGCUGGCGGCGUGCCUAAUACAUGCAAGUCGAGCGAAUGGAUUAAGAGCUUGCUCUUAUGAAGUUAGCGGCGGACGGGUGAGUAACACGUGGGUAACCUGCCCAUAAGACCGGGAUAACUCCGGGAAACCGGGGCUAAUACCGGAUAACAUUUUGAACCGCAUGGUUCGAAAUUGAAAGGCGGCUUCGGCUGUCACUUAUGGAUGGACCCGCGUCGCAUUAGCUAGUUGGUGAGGUAACGGCUCACCAAGGCAACGAUGCGUAGCCGACCUGGGAGAGUGAUCGGCCACACUGGGACUGAGACACGGCCCAGACUCCUACGGGAGGGAGCAGUAGGGAAUCUUCCGCAAUGGACGAAAGUCUGACGGAGCAACGCCGCGUGAGUGAUGAAGGCUUUCGGGUCGUAAAACUCUGUUGUUAGGGAAGAACAAGUGCUAGUUGAAUAAGCUGGCACCUUGACGGUACCUAACCAGAAAGCCACGGCUAACUACGUGCCAGCCGCCGCAGUAA
rnacentral:rRNA from 1 species